rnacentral:lncRNA from 1 species
CUCUUGUUGGUGAAGCUUUCUCCUGUGAACCUUCUGAUUCAGAUGGAGAAAAAAUGGUGGAAUGACCUUCUAAAGGCCGCAGAAGGAGUUGAAACUGAGAUGAGAUCAAGGAGCUCCUGACUACCCUGCCCCCAGGGAAAACAUCAGAUUGUUCUGCAUCUCUCUUCUGCAACUAUUGCACUGACAAAGGCCUUUUGCCACACUCACAUAAGCGUGUCUACAAGAUGGAUUUUUAUGACUGCAGUGGAAUUUGGGAGAUGGCCGGGACACUUUGGUUUCCAGCAAUCCCAUAUCAUACUUCCCUCAUGUGCUUCUCUCUCUCCUGCCUCUAUGCAUUUUUCAAUAAACCGGCAAAAUUACCCAUGAGCAAGGCUGUAAGGGACAGCACAGAGCCAGUGAAAUCAUACGCCUCCUGUGCUUGUAUAGUUAGCAGCAAGUGUAUAUAACACAGCCCUGCCCUUCCUCUUCUAAUGAAAGUGGCUCGCCACCAGGAAAAGCAGUAACACCCUUGUUUUACACCACCUCCACAAAGUUAUGAGAAGGUGUACAAUUUUGUAUGGUUUUUCUAAGAAAUGGAAGAUCUUCCAAGCAAGGCUCAAGAAAGAGAAUCACCCUAUAAGUCAGUGUUGGAAACGCAGACUGGAAAAUCAAGUGCCGACUUUGCAUUGUCGCAGAUAAUAGAUGGUGAAUGGUGGGCUCAAGUUUAGUGACAUGCACUUCGGCUGUGCAGAGUUACUCGUGUUAGACUACUGUAACAUGAAAAGGAUCGUUCACGUGGCACAGCAAGAUGGUACAGUUAGAUGCAUGCACCACACAGCCAUUUAUUUGGCUUCUGUCCGUUCCUCGCUGGGAAUUAAACUGAGAAGAAAUUCUCUUCCAAGGUUUGAAAAGCAUCUGCAAAAGUUAGAAACUCCUAGGGAAAAAAAACAACAAAAAAAAGAAAAACACAAACACAAAACAGCUUAUUUGUUCAUCCAUCAUAUUUUCCAGGCAACUGUUCUCUUGAGGAACAUGCAAACGAAUAGCCAAGAGUGAGUGGCGGAAAAGAUACACGUAUAUGAAUUCCUUAAAGCAAGGCACGUCUUGGAGCUACUUUCAUGUUCUUUCCUGAUGCUGGCGAGGGUGGGGCAGAAGUCUGGGAAGAAAUCAGUUGGCCUGGGAAGGCAUGGGCCCUACUUAAGAAAACAAAAAUUCCUGGAGGUAUGCCUUGUUCAGCCAUUGCAAGUGUCCUCAGAGGCCAAGCACUACUAUCACGUUCAUUUGAUGGCUCUUAAACUACAUUAAACUGUCCAAAGGCACCCAACCAAACGUCACAGUAAAACAAAAAUCAAUUGAUCGCAUGCCCGGGCAACACUUACCAUGGGC